UGUGAAGAAGGCCUUCGGGUUGUAAAGCACUUUUGUCCGGAAAGAAAACUUCGUCCCUAAUAUGGAUGGAGGAUGACGGUACCGGAAGAAUAAGCACCGGCUAACUACGUGCCAGCAGCCGCGGUAAUACGUAGGGUGCGAGCGUUAAUCGGAAUUACUGGGCGUAAAGCGUGCGCAGGCGGUCUGUUAAGACCGAUGUGAAAUCCCCGGGCUUAACCUGGGAACUGCAUUGGUGACUGGCAGGCUUUGAGUAUGGCAGAGGGGGGUAGAAUUCCACGUGUAGCAGUGAAAUGCGUAGAGAUGUGGAGGAAUACCGAUGGCGAAGGCAGCCCCCUGGGCCAACACUGACGCUCAUGCACGAAAGCGUGGGGAGCAAACAGGAUUAGAUACCCUGGUAGUCCACGCCCUAAACGAUGUCAACUAGUUGUUGGGGAUUCAUUUCCUUAGUAACGUAGCUAACGCGUGAAGUUGACCGCCUGGGGAGUACGGUCGCAAGAUUAAAACUCAAAGGAAUUGACGGGGACCCGCACAAGCGGUGGAUGAUGUGGAUUAAUUCGAUGCAACGCGAAAAACCUUACCUACCCUUGACAUGGUCGGAACCC
rnacentral:rRNA from 1 species